GUGCCUGUACACAAAUCAGCCUGUCAGCCUGAAUGAAAAUAACCUGUAUGGUGUCACAGUUCUGUAGAAUUAUUUGUUUUUUGUUCUUGCCUGCUGCAGGCGCUUCUGGGUGAGCACUGCACCGUCGGCGAGCAUGAACUCCAGCGUCAGUAGCACAAGCAGUGGCAGCAGCGGUAGCAGUGCAAGCACUGGCAACAGCGCUGCCCCUGGCCUCCCCGCUCACCCGAUAAACCCGGCACAGAGAGCUGUCACCAGCCAGACCAGCAGUGGUAGCUCGGGCAGCAGCAGCAGCAGCAGCAGUGGUUCAAGUGGCGGCAGUAAUGGUGCAAUUCCUCCUGGUGGAGGCCGGGUGCAGGAGCGAUCCGUCAUGGGCGUUAUCGUGCGCAAGGGUAGCAAUGAUCAUAAGAAGGUAUGUCAUCUGUUUGCACCACGUGAUGACAACUACCAAGCCAUUGUUGUCGUAGAGACGAUUCAAGCGCAGAUGGCCAUGUAUGAAUCACUGAAGCCGAUUCCGUCUACCUGAUCAAUGCACGACUUCAUGAUCAAUGCACGGCUUCAUCACAAUCUCUAUCUGAUCAGUUCAUGACAUCAUCAGAUUAUCCACGUGAUCAAUGCAUGACAUCAUCAGGGCAUCCACCUGAGCCACGAUAUCCACCUGAUCAAUUUAUGACGUCAUCAAGACGUCUACCACUUGUCCAUGAAUGCGGCUUUCACGCAUCCCAAGGCCUAUGCCUCCGAAGGUGAAGGUGACACGUUAGUUUAUUUGAGUGUUACGUGCACCGAUACCGAUAUCUUGCCUCCGAAGAUGAUAACUUGAUACCUAAUGACCCAGUGGAGGAGACAUGCGUGCUGCCCAGGUGACCCAUGCUUCAGCGAUCCUCUUCUCAUUGGCCCGCGUCAUCGAUACGCCAAAUCUACCAUUCCCUCCGUAUGAUGUUCUCGUUCCGAUGAUCUGGUCGCUAGCUCUGCACGCAUACCGGUAUGUCUGCAUGUGUAGCUGCCGCGAGAAGAUGUCACAGGAGGAAAUUGUUGACUCGCGUGGCUAAUCCACUGUGUGUUCUUUGGAAGCACCUCUCAUCUCAUCCUUGUUUACAGUAGUUCUUCACUCUGCGCAGUGUCUAUCUAGAAUCAUAGGAACCGGUGGGCAGUCUUCGCCGCCACCCUAGUCUGUUGAAUUUCACAACGUGUACCCCCCCCCCCCCCCCCCCCCCAGCUCAGCAAGGCACAGUCAGCAUAGUGAUCACAUUCAGUGUGCAGGGAGCUUCGCAUUCGGCCCACCGCUUCUUUUCCGUCGUGCAACUCGCAUCGUUCACGCAACUCCUCUUGGUGUCCGUCGCUUUGCUCCGCAUGUAGUUGACCGUUCUCCGUGUUUCGCCUGGGAUAACGUUGAACUAAACAUUGCCGAGCUGUCAGAGUCAUUUCUCAGUGUUGUUUUAUUUUUGUAUUUAUGUUGACAUACUAACAUUGGCGGGAGUGCCCGCAUGCGAAUGCGUUGCUCCGUCUGUUUUGUCUUAUGUUUCCUAUGUGUGUGCGAGCAUACGCAUUGUACAUAUUCAUUAUUUAUGCAUGCUCAUAGGAUCGCUCGCCCCAUUCCUGUGCUGCCAGGACAAGCUUUGGCACAAGCGAACGCAAAGUGAGCGUAUCAGUUCUCUACAUGUGCGCGCCUUCUGGCCACCUGGUGUGUGCCUAGCUGGGCGCAGAACUUGUUCUUCUGGUCGCGAGCCUAUCCUAUGAACCUAACCAUGGCACACAUGUUUAACAUCUCCAUUUCAUUAUUCACAUUCCUAACGGUUCUGGCGCAACAGCGAAAUUAACAGCAUGUACUAUGUUCCGUCUCGUCACCUGCUCUGACUAGUGUUUUCAAUUUUUCAAUCUGACCUUUUUACCUUCUUUUUCCUUCGCAUGCACUUGCUUCAGGCUCCUGCGCAAGACAACCAGUAUGUUUAUCAUAUUCACACAACCAUCCUCUACUCCCCCCCCCCCCCUCCCUCCCACAUUCACUUCACCCACAGAGCGUGUUUAUUUUCUGUCACUUUUUCACACAUAACUAUUACUUGCCUGCAAGUACAUGUACAUGUACGCACAUUUCAAACAUAUCCCAAUUUAUUUAGUAGGUCUAUGCCGUGUUGUUAUCUUUUUGUUCCGGUUUCGCAUCUGGUUUUUAGCUGUUCCGGUUUCGCAUCUGGUUUUUAGCUGUUCGUCCCACCACUGUGCAUAGCAUUCGGUUUGCGUCAGAUCAGACAUACUGCUCUUGCUCUCUGUA